CUCCCUUAGAUUCUUCUGGCGCACGUUUGCUGACGGUCCCUUAGCUCGCACAGCGCUGAAGCGGAUCUCAGAUCUGUAGCAGUGUGCCAGUGUCACUGUUUCACCGGGGAACGAUACACUCGCGUUUCACGUUUAGGCGCACUACAGCCACCGGCGAUGCUAUGCUACAUUUUUAACUGAAAGACGGAAUAACAGCAAAAAUGACGGUGGAUUUUGAGGAAUGUAUUAAAGAUUCUCCCCGAUUCAGGGCGAAUAUCGAUGAAGUUGAGACGGAUGUUGUGGAAAUCGAAGCCAAGUUAGAUAAGUUGGUGAAGCUAUGCAGCGGUAUGAUCGAAGCAGGUCGUGCGUACAUCAGUGCCAAUAAACUCUUCAUCAACGGGAUUCGAGACUUGUCUCACCACUGCAAAAAAGAGGAGAUGAUCUCAGAAUGUCUUGAAAAAUGUGGCGGGAGCCUUCAGGAAAUUGUCAACUAUCACAUGAUCCUGUUUGACCAGGCACAGAGAUCCGUAAAGCAACAGUUGCACAAUUUUGUGAAGGAGGAUGUUCGAAAGUUUAAAGAGACGAAGAAGCAGUUUGAUAAGGUGCGGGAGGAUAUGGAGAUCGCCCAGGUGAAGAACGCACAGGCGCCUCGUAACAAACCUCAUGAGGUGGAGGAGGCCACCAGCGCCCUCAUCACGACCCGAAAGUGCUUCCGACACCUCGCCCUGGACUAUGUGUUGCAGAUCAAUGUUCUUCAGGCCAAAAAGAAAUUUGAAAUUUUGGAUUCGAUGCUGUCGUUCAUGCAGGCUCAGUACAGUCUCUUCCAGCAGGGCUUCAACAUCUUAGACGAGGUCGACCCCUACAUGAAGAAGCUGGCUGCUGAGCUGGAUCAGCUGGUCAUAGACUCAGCGAUGGAGAAGCGAGAGAUGGAGCACAAACACGCCACCAUACAGCAAAGAGAUUUUGCAUACGAUGACUCCAAAGUGGAAUUCAAUGUUGAUGCUCCUAAUGGUGUGGUGAUGGAGGGAUACCUGUUCAAGAGGGCGAGCAAUGCUUUCAAGACGUGGAACAGGCGAUGGUUUUCGAUACAGAACAGUCAAUUAGUCUAUCAGAAGCGACUAAAAGACUCUUUGACUGUGGUUGUGGAGGAUCUGCGGCUUUGCUCUGUGAAACCGUGUGAGGACAUUGAGAGGAGGUUCUGUUUUGAAGUGGUGUCACCUACAAAGAGCUGUAUGCUGCAGGCUGAAUCUGAGAAGCUCCGUCAAGCUUGGAUUCAAGCAGUUCAGGCCAGCAUUGCUUCAGCCUACAGGGAAAUCUCGGAGAACUAUUAUAUUGAGCGUCUGGACAGGACAGCGUCUCCCUCCACGAGCAGUAUCGACUCUGCCAGCGAGCCGCGGGAGCGUAUUGUUAGGGGAGAGAGUAUCCUACAGCGGGUCCAGUCUCUGCCAGGGAACGAGAUCUGCUGUGACUGUGGCCAGGCCGACCCUCGCUGGGCCAGCAUCAACCUCGGCAUUCUGCUCUGCAUCGAGUGCUCGGGCAUUCACAGGAGUUUGGGAGUCCACUGCUCUAAAGUUCGCUCUUUAACACUCGACUCAUGGGAGCCAGAGCUUAUGAAGUUAAUGUGUGAGCUUGGAAACACUGUAAUCAACCAGAUCUAUGAAGGUGCGUGUGAAGAGCAGGGACUUAAGAAACCUGGUCCCAACAGCUCAAGGCAGGAGAAAGAAGCAUGGAUCAAAGCGAAAUAUGUGGAGAGGAAGUUUCUGAAGAAGAUGUGUGGCUCCGAGGCUCUGGUGGAGGGGAGCAGAAAAUCACAUCACUGGAACGUGAAGAAGUGCAGGAGACACAACAGCUCCAUCAGAGCCCCUAAAACCCGCCGGAAAUACAGACAUGAUGCCGGGAUCAUGUCACCAGCCAAUCUCUCUGCUGCUGCGGCAGCUGCAAAAUUUCGGAGGGAAUCCUUGUUUUGUCCCGACGAGCUUGAUUCGCUCUUCUCUUACUUUGACACAGGCUCAGGGCCUCGCAGCCCCGCAGGUCUCAGCAGUGAUAGCGGGCUUGGCGGCAGUACUGACGGCAGCACAGACAUACUCGUUUUCGGCUCAGUGGUGGACAGCGUCACUGAGGAAGAGUGUGAGGACUCCGAUGAGUCAAGUGGGGAGGUUGACAUCGAGCAGGAAGCGUCGGAUCCAGAGGACGGACGGGAGCUUGACCCGAAGACGCUGCUUCAUAAGGCGUCAAGGGCCAGAAACAUACCGGUCAUGGCAGAGGCACUCGCGCACGGGGCAGAUGUCAACUCUGUCAGUGAGGAGGACCAAAGCAAGAGUCCAUUAAUACAAGCCGUCACAGGGGGCUCUCUGAUAGCCUGUGAGUUCUUGCUGCAGAACGGAGCAGAUGUCAAUCAGAGGGAUGUACGAGGACGGGCGCCUCUGCACCAUGCCACGUGCCUGGGUCACACGGGACAGGUGUGUUUGUUCCUGAAGCGAGGAGCCUCUCAGAUGGAGGUCGAUGAGGAGGGGCAGGACCCUCUCAGUAUCGCUGUCCAGGCCGCCAACGCAGACAUCGUCACAUUAUUGCGGUUAGCCCGGAUGAAUGAGGAGAUGCGGGAAGCGGACGGGCCCUUCGGACAGCCAGGUCAAUACCCCAGCAGCAGUCCCACAGAGCAACAGUACAAAAAGUGUAUUCAGGAGUUUAUCUGUCUCACGAUUGACGAAUGCUAGGGGCGCUGUUGAGCGCUGACAGACUGUGAGGAGAACUACAAAAGUUUGUAGCCCUUAGCAGGAAUAGCUUUAGCAGAGAUUGAGUGCUGUCUUCAUCCUCCUCCCCUCCUGACCAACUAAUUCACACGUUGUGUGUUCGUAUGUACAGUAUGUAUGUGGUUAACACAAAAUAUUAAAAUCAAAUGGCUGUUGCGACAGUAUGCGAGGGCUAGAUUGCUGUUUUGAAUUGUGCAUCAUUCAAACGUGACGUUAAUCGCGAUUAAUUAGUGGAUUAACAGCCAACAGCCAACAACAAACAUUUGUUUUGAAUUAAUUUGAAUUCAUUAGCAAUUCAAAACAGCAUUUCAGUGUUAUUGAGUCAUUAUGUGCAAAAUAUGACUGUGCGCACUUUUCCUACCGACAGUAUUUGUUUUGUUUUGUUUUUUACGACUGAAUUCUUGUAAAUGUUGUUUGUUGUGUUUUUAAUUUAUGUUCCGUCCUGAGGAUUAGUGCAAUGAUAAUUGGAAUACGGAAAAACUGUAUCCAUUUAUAUUUUCUCGUUUAGUAAAAAAAAAAGCUUUUACGUUUGACUAAAUAGAUUUUUUUUUUUGUCUUUUACAUUUCAAAAAACACACCGGCCUCCCCUCAUAUGCUAAUAAAACGGGUGUGUUGACCCCUUUAAGAGAUGUCAGCUAUUCAAAAUUAUUUAUAGAACUUAUAGCAACCGUCUGUUUUAUAUAUUUGUACUUGUAUUGCCAAGCUCCCAAAUGACUGUCAUGUGAAUUUUAAUUUUUUUAAGCAAAGUGCUUGUCUAUAGCAGUCUGUCAGUAGAAGCAGUCAGCAUUUGCAUGCGUUUACUCGCUCGUAUACCAAGGCAAAGUGUCUGUCCGCAUUAGCAAGCAUGGUUCCUUAUUUUAGCCACCUGAUUCUACCAUUAUGUAAAAAUGCAUGGCCGCAGAAGACAUCUGCUCUGUAUUGUCCAUUUUUUGCCCACGCUUGGUUCAGAUGAUCCCAGUCAUCAGAAUCCUGUCUCCCUUUCUAAUGCCUGUAAAAAAAAAGAUGCAUCCGAAAAUGCCCACUUCCAUAUUAUGUAUUAGUUGACAAACAGUAUGAGAGAUGAGUAGUAUGUCUGAAUUCAUAGCAUUCAUAGAACAGUCAAAAAGCACAAUUUUAGCGCAACAAUGUUCGAUUUUGGAUACCACACUUCUCAUUUAGCACUGUGCUAAGCAGGCUAAUCUGUUAGCCAAGUAUAGGCCAGCAAAAAAUAGAGAAUAUGACCAUUUUUAGCUUUAGUAAUGAAAUAUAAGAAUUAAAAGGCAUUAAUUAACAUUUUAAUGAUUAAGACUUUGAAGGAUUUGAAUAAAUUACCCAUAACAAAUGUUUGAGGAAUAAGGGGGAUAGGAUUCUGUGUGACACCGCCAUCUGUGAACGGACUGUUGCAAGUAAAGGUGAAAUAUGUAAAAAUAAUAAUAAUAUUGGCUAUUUCCAAUCAAACAAUCUCCCAGUCUGCAAUUGGUCGUCAAAUAAAUAGCCCCGCCCCCACACUCAUGCUAUUGGUUGAGCCACUGUUGAUAUGUCAGGCAGGUCAGAUGCUUAAACAGAGCGAUGUUUUGAUAGAUUGAUAGUGUUUAUGCUUUUCGGGGGAUUCAAUCUACAAAUGCGUUACUUUGGACAUGGAAAAUAUUCAAAUAUGGAAAACAAACCUACACACUUCACCUUUAAACUGAAGCCAGCAUUCCUGCGAGUCCAUCGAGGGUAAAGCGCAAGAGUUCACGAGCGUCACCACGUGCACUGUCAUCUUUCGGCAGUUUCCGCACAUGGAUUUACACCCCUCCGAAACACUAACCAGCUGUCCUGCUGAAACCAGAC